rnacentral:rRNA from 1 species
AUUGAACGCUGGCGGCAUGCCUAACACAUGCAAGUCGAACGAGUGGCGGACGGGUGAGUAAUGUCUGGGAAACUGCCUGAUGGAGGGGGAUAACUACUGGAAACGGUAGCUAAUACCGCAUACCAUCGGAUUUGCCCAGAUGGGAUUAGCUAGUAGUGGGGGUAAAGGCUCACCUAGGCGACGAUCCCUAGCUGGUCUGAGAGGAUGACCAGCCAAACUGGAACUGAGACACGGUCCAGACUCCGACGGGAGGAAGCAGGGGGGAAUAUUGCAAAAUGGGAGCAAGCCUGAUGGAGCCAUGCCGCGUGUAUGAAGAAGGCCUUCGGGUUGUAAAGUACUUUCAGCGGGGAGGCGUUACCCGCAGAAGAAGCACCGGCUAACUCCGUGCCAGCAGCCGCGGUAAUAC